rnacentral:miRNA from 3 species
AGUUUUGCAGGUUUGCAUUUC